AGAAACAAGAAAUCAACUUUUCCGAUUAAGUGGAGUUCAGUGUCGUCGAGGAUCACGUGUCCGGAAGGCUGAAUGCGAUUCGUGUGAGAAUCUUACCACAGGGAAACGUAACUCUCCAG